CCUACGGGAGGCAGCAGUGAGGAAUAUUGGUCAAUGGACGAGAGUCUGAACCAGCCAAGUAGCGUGAAGGAUGACUGCCCUAUGGGUUGUAAACUUCUUUUAUAUGGGAAUAAAAUGUUCCACGUGUGCGUUUUUGUAUGUACCAUAUGAAUAAGGAUCGGCUAACUCCGUGCCAGCAGCCGCGGUAAUACGGAGGAUCCGAGCGUUAUCCGGAUUUAUUGGGUUUAAAGGGAGCGUAGGUGGGUUGUUAAGUCAGUUGUGAAAGUUUGCGGCUCAACCGUAAAAUUGCAGUUGAAACUGGCAGUCUUGAGUACAGUAGAGGUGGGCGGAAUUCGUGGUGUAGCGGUGAAAUGCUUAGAUAUCACGAAGAACUCCGAUUGCGAAGGCAGCUCACUGGACUGUAACUGACACUGAGGCUCGAAAGUGUGGGUAUCAAACAGGAUUAGAUACCCCUGUAGUC
rnacentral:rRNA from 1 species